rnacentral:lncRNA from 1 species
UUUUAUAUUUGAUUGAAGGGUGAAAUUGAAAAUAAAAUUCAAUUUAGCAAAAAAACAAUCAAAAUAAUAAGGAUCAAAUUUGACAUAAAAAAUUAAAAAUAGAUUUUUAAUUGAAGGGUGAAAUUAAAAAGAAAAAUAACUUUAACAAAAGAAAAAAAAUCAAAAGAAUGAGGACCAAAUUGGUAAAAAUAAUAUACCAUAAAUUUGGAUUAAAGAAUAAAAUUGAAAAAAAAAAUAAAACUUUCACAAAGAGGUUAAGAAAAAAAUUAGAAAUCAAAAGAAUAAGGAUCUACUUAGAAAAAAUAAUAUAUGACAUAUUGGCAUUGAAGGAUGAAAUUGAGAACAAACAAGACUUUUACCAAAAGGCUAGGAAGCAAAAUUAGAAAUUAAAAAAAA